GACGAACGCUGGCGGCGUGCUUAACCCAUGCAAGUCGAACGAAGUGGCGAACGGGUGAGUAACGCGUAAUCAACCUGCCCUUCAGAGGGGGACAACAGUUGGAAACGACUGCUAAUACCGCAUACUGAAGGAGGGGCUUGCGUCUGAUUAGCUAGUUGGAGAGGUAAAGGCUCACCAAGGCGAUGAUGGGUAGCCGGCCGGGGAGGGUGACCGGCAACAAGGUGACUGAGACACGGCGCUUAAGCCUACGGGAGGCAGCAGUGGGGAAUAUUGGACAAUGGACCAAAGUCUGAUCCAGCAAUUCUGUGGGAACGAUGAAGUUUUUCGGAAUGUAAAGUGCUUUCAGUUGGGAAGCAGUACCAACAGAAGAAGUGACGGCUAAAUACGUGCCAGCAGCCGCGGUAAUUC
rnacentral:rRNA from 1 species